AACGAACGCUGGCGGCAUGCCUAACACAUGCAAGUCGAACGAGACCUUCGGGUCUAGUGGCGCACGGGUGCGUAACGCGUGGGAACCUGCCCUUAGGUUCGGAAUAACUCCCCGAAAGGGGUGCUAAUACCGGAUAAUGUCUUCGGACCAAAGAUUUAUCGCCUUUGGAUGGGCCCGCGUUGGAUUCGCUCGUUGGUAGGGUAAAAGCCUACCAAGGCGACGAUCCAUAGCUGGUCUGAGAGGAUGAUCAGCCACACUGGGACUGAGACACGGCCCAGACUCCUACGGGAAGCAGCAGUGGGGAAUAUUGGACAAUGGGCGAAAGCCUGAUCCAGCAAUGCCGCGUGAGUGAUGAAGGCCUUAGGGUUGUAAAGCUCUUUUACCCGGGAUGAUAAUGACAGUACCGGGAGAAUAAGCUCCGGCUAACUCCGUG
rnacentral:rRNA from 1 species